rnacentral:rRNA from 1 species
UACGUAGGGUGCGAGCGUUGUCCGGAAUUAUUGGGGCGUAAAGGGCUCGUAGGCGGUUUGUCGCGUCGGGAGUGAAAACCAGGUGCGUUAACACCUGGCUUGCUUUCGAUACGGGCAGACUAGAGGUAUGCAGGGGAGAACGGAAUUCCUGGUGUAGCGGUGAAAUGCGCAGAUAUCAGGAGGAACACCGGUGGCGAAGGCGGUUCUCUGGGCAUGACCUGACGCUGAGGAGCGAAAGUGUGGGAGGCGAACAGG